rnacentral:tRNA from 1 species
GCCUCUGUAGCUCAGUUGGUUAGAGCACUGCACCGGAAUCACAGCCGCAGGUUCGAUUCCUGCCAGGGACC